CAGUCUUAGAGCUGCGGACAUGCGAGCAUGCGCAAUGCGUGCCUGCCAGAGCGAGGGGAGGGUGGAACCUCCGCAUGGAGCAUGCGCCGUGCAUACCGGUGGAGGAGCGGAGUUCAGGAGGCCGGUCGGAGACAGGGUCUCCUUCUGUUGCCCAGCUUGGAGCGCACCUGUGUGAUCUCGGCUCGCUGCAGACUCCGCCUCCCGGGUUCAAGCGAUCCUCCUGUCUCAGCCUCCCGAGUAGCUGGGAUUACAGGCACCCGCCACCACGCCCGGCUACUUUUUGUAUUUUUAGUGGAGACGCAGUUUCACCAUGUUGGCCAGGCUGGUCUCGAACUCCCGACCUCGAGUGAUCCUCCUGCCUCGGCCUCCCAAAGUGCGGGGAUGACAGGCGUGAGCCAACUCGCCCAGCCACACAGUUGCCUUUUUAUGUGACGCGCAUCAUGUAGAUGGAAGAGAAAUCAAACGGCCCCGUCUACCGGGGUGGGAUUGCAGCCUGUUCCCAUGUCUCAUUUAUUCCCUGGGUGCUGGGAGAGUCUCUGGGAUGACAAGACUGAUGGUUCCUAACCCAGGCCAGGGCAAUGCAUGACUUUUGACGCCUCGGAGAAGCUCUUCCUUCCUGGACUGUAUUCUGACACAGAGUGCGUCUCACGCUUUACCUGACGGCGCCCAGAGCGACCUUCAUCGCGGCCACCGGCCAGCGCCGUCUUCUGGAUCUUCAGCGGCUUGAGGAACUUUCUGUCCCCUUCUGGGUUGACUGAAUUUUUAUAGUGAAAAGGCACUACCUUUGCUCAAAUGCUUUUCCUGCAUUUCUGCAAAUGGUCAUGUGAGUUUGGCCCCUUAGCCAUGAAUACAGUGCGUCACAUUCACUCGUUUUCCAGAAAAGAGCUGUAUAGAGAGAUAAUUUACACAGCUGACAAUGUAUCCGUUUAAACUCUUCCAACCCGUGGCUUUCUGCAUGCAGAGACUUGUGCCACCAUCACCACAGUCUAUUUUAUUGCUUUAUUUAUAUUUGUUUUUUUUUUUUUUUUUUGAGACAGGGUCUCGCUCCUGUAGCCUUGGACUCUCAGGCUCAAGGGAUCCUCCCUCCUCAGCUCCCCAAGUAGCCGGGCAAUGUGGCUUCUCCCGAGUAGCUGGAGGAUGCUGUUUCUCUGGAGUAGCUGGGUGACGCGGCUUCUCCAGCGUAGCUGGGUGACGCUGUUUCCCCAGAGUAGCUGGUGAUGCCGUUUCUCCAGAGUAGCUGACUGACGCCGUUUCUCCCGAGUAGCUGGGUGACGCGGUUCCUCCCGAGUAGCUGGUGACGCCGUUUCUCCCGAGUAGUUGGGUGACGCGGCUUCUCCUGAGUAGCUGGUGACGCCGUUUCUCCCGAGUAGCUGGGUGACACCGUUUCUCCUGAGUAGCUGGGUGACGCGGUUUCUCCCGAGUAGCUGGGUGACGUUGUUUCUCCCAUGUAUCUGGGUGACACUGUUUCUCUGGAGUACCUGGGUGAUGCCAUUUCUCCCGAGUAGCUGGGUGAUGCUGUUUCUCCUGAGUAGCUGGGUGACGCGGUUUCUCCCGAGUACCUGGGUGACAUGGUUUGGCUAUGUCUCCUCCCAAGGUUUACCUUGAACGGUUAUCAUCCCCACAUGUCAAGGGCAGGGCCAGGUGGAGAGAAUUGAAUCAUAGGGUCAGUUUCCCCCAGACUGUUCUCGUGGUAGUGAAUAGGUCUCAUGAGAUCUGAUUUUUUUUUUUUUUUUUUUGAGACAGAGUCUCGCUCUUGUCACCCAGGCUGGAGUGCAAUGGCAUGAUCUCGGCUCACUGCAACCUCUGCCUCCCAAGUAGCUGGGAUUACAGGCGCCCGCCACCACACCUGGCUAAUUUUUUGUAUUUUUAAUAGAAACGAGGUUUCACCAUGUUGGCCACGUUGAUCUCAAACUCCUCACCUCAGGUGAUCCACCCUCCUCAGCCUCCCAAAGUGCUGGGAUGACAGGCGUGAGCCACCAUGCCCGGCCGAGAUCUGAUGGUUUUAUAAAUGGGAGCACCCCUCUAUAUGCCCUUUUUUUGCCUGCCACCAUGUAAGAUGUGACUUUGCUCCUUCUUGAUCUUCCGCCAUGACUGUGAGGCCUCCCCAGCCAUGUGGAACUGUGAGUCCAUUAAACCUCUUUCCUUUAUAAAUUACCCCAUCUUGGUUAUGCCUUUAUUAGCAACCUGAGAACAGACUGGUACACUUGGACUAUAGGUGCACAACACCAUCCCCAGUUAAGUUUUUUUGUAGAGAGAGGUUCUCCCUAUAUGCCCAGGCUGGUUUUGAACUCCUGGCCUCAAGUGAUCCUCCUGUCCCAGCCUCCCAAACUGCUGGGAUUAUGGGUAUGAACCAUGGUGUCCAGACAUCAGAAUACAUUUUAUUUUAUUUUUGUUUUACUUUAUUUUAUUUUUUUUGAGGCAGAGUCUCACUCUGUCGCCCAGGCUGGAGUGCAGUGGCACGAUCUCGGCUCACUGCAACCUCCGCCUCCCGGUUCAAGCGAUUCUCCUGCCUCAGCAUCCUGAGUAGCUGGGAUGACAGUCACCUGCCACCACACCCAGCUAAUUUUUGUAUUUUUAGUAGAGAUGGGGUUUCACUAUGUUGGCCAGUCUGGUCUCAAACUCCUGACCUCAAGUGAUCCACCCGCCUUCACCUCCCAUAGUCCUUUUUUUUUUUUGAGAUGGAGUCUCGCUCUGUCAUCCAGGCUGGAGUGCAGUGGCGUGAUCUCGGCUCACUGCAACCUCCGCCUCCCGGGUUCAAAUGAUUCUCCUGCCUCAGCCUCCUGAGUAGCCGGGAUUACAGGUGCCCGCCACCACACCUGGCUAAUUUUGUAUUUUUAGUAGAGACGGGGUUUCUCCAUGUUGGCCAGGCUGGUCUUGAACUCCUGACCUCGGAUGAUCCACCCGCCUCGGCCUCCCGAAGUGCUGGGAUGACAGGCGUGAGCCACCGCACCUGGCUGCCUUCGGACCUCUCGGUGGGAGGAACGUGUGGGUCCUAUUCAAGCAUCAGCUCUGUCUCCCACCUGCUCUCACCUCCGUGGGCACACCUGGUUCUCGGCACCCGUGGCAGCUGGGCUGUUGAGCCUCGGCUGGGGUUUGCAGAGGUUUUCUGGGAAGAGCUACUCCAAUUCAGGCGAGACUGGCAGAUCUGGAGAAUUCCACGGCCCCGGGGACCCAGGGCAGCUGUCGUGACUGUGGGGUGCAAGGACCUGGUGGCCAGGUGGAUCCCAGGCAUUGCGAUGGGCUCCAUGGUGAGCUGUGGAAAAGAGCCUGGGUCCUGGAUUUUAUAUCUGGGAAUCUGCUUGCCCACAACCACACUUGCCCACGGCUUUCCUCGUAGUGUUAAAAGCAGCUACUUUUAGGCUGGGCGCGGUGGCUCACGCCUGUCAUCCCAGCACUUUGGGAGGCUGAGGUGGGCGGAUCACCUGAGGUCAGGAGUUCGAGACCAGCCUGGCCAACAUGGCGAAACCCCGUCUCCACUAAAAAUACAAAAAAUCACCUGGGCAUGGUGGCAUGCGCCUGUAAUCCCAGCUACUCAGGAGGCUGAGGCAGGAGAAUCGCUUGAACCCGAGAGGCUGAGGUGGCAAUGAGCUGAGAUCGUGCCGUUUCACUCCAGCCUGGGUGACAAAGACUGAAACUCUGACUCAAAAAAAAAAAAAAAAAAAAAAAAGAAUGUUGCUGGUAUCUGCCCCAAAGCAGCUUGCUUUAGUUAUAGUGUUAAAAGCGGCUACUUUUGGGCCGGGCAUGUUGGCUCACGCCUGUCAUCCCAGCACUUUGAGAGGCCAAGGUGGGCGGAUCACCUGAGGUCAGGAGUUUGAGACCAGCCUGGCCAACAUGGUGAAACCCUGUCUCUACUAAAAAUACAAAAAUCACCUGGUCACGGUGGCGGGCGCCUGUAAUUCCAGCUACUUGGGAGGCUGAGGCAGGAGAAUUGCUUGAACCCGGGAGGCGGAGGUUGCAGUGAGCCAAGAUCGCACCACUGCACUCCAGCCUCGGUGACAGAGUGAGACUGUGUCUAAAUAAAUAAAUAAAUAAAUAAAUAAAUUGGGGCCGGGCGCGGUGGCUCACACCUGUCAUCCUAGCACUUUGGGAGGCCCAGGCGGGUGGAUCACGAGGUCAGGAGAUCAAGACCAUCCUGGCUAACAUAGUGAAACCCCGUCUCUACUAAAAAUACAAAAAAAAUUAGCUGGGCAUCGUGGCGGGCGCCUGUAGUCCCAGCUACUCGGGAGGCUGAGGCAGGAGAAUGGCGUGAACCCGGGAAGCGGAGCUUGCAGUGAGCCGAGAUCGCACCACUGCACUGCAGCCUGGGCGACAGAGCGAGACUCCAUCUCAAAACAAAGAAACAAGCAAACAAACAAACAAAAAAACUUAAAAAUUAGCCAGCUGUGGUGGUGCACACCUCUAGUCCCAGCUACUUAGGAGGCUGAGGCAGGAGAAUGGGGUGAACCUGGGAGGUGGAGCUUGCAGUGAGCUGAGAUUGCACCACUGCACUCCAGCCUGGGUGGCAGAGCGAGACUCUGUCUCAAAAAAAAAAAAAAAAAACUUAAAAAUUAGCCAGAUGUGGCGGUGCACACCUAUAGUCCCAGCUACUCAGGAGGCUGAGGCAGGAGGAUUGCCUGAGCCUAGGAGGUCAAGGCUGCAGUUAGCUGUGAUCGCACCAGUGCACUCCAGCCUGGGCAACAGACCAAGACCUCGUCUCCAAAAAAAAUAAAUAAAUAAAGUUGCAAUGACUCCCAUUGCCGAUUCAAAGAGCUUUUAUGAAUGUCUCAAUAUACUUGCCUAGCCUACAUGCCUGUUUUUGGAUUCAAACGCAAAGUUUUGUUCACCGUAGGUGGGAGAUCAAGUUGGCAACAAUAGUGUUCCAAGGUAAUACACCCUGUAUCUCAGAGAAAUUGAAAUAUAACCAUCUCAGAGGUU